rnacentral:rRNA from 1 species
CAUGGAGGGUGAGAAUCCCGUCCGGCUGACCUUCAGGACGUUUUACGAUACGCUCUCUAAGAGUCGAGUUGUUUGGGAUUGCAGCUCAAAAUGGGAGGUAAAUUUCUCCUAAGGCUAAAUAUCGGCGAGAGACCGAUAGCGAACAAGUACCGUGAGGGAAAGAUGAAAAGAACUUUGAAAAGAGAGUAAAAUAGUACGUGAAAUUGUUGAAAGGGAAACGAUUGAAGUCAGUCGUACCGACGAGAAAUCAACUUAUCGUGUGCGAACUUGUGGGCGUGCGUGAGUUUCGGCCUCGCUGUUUGCAUGUUUGUGCGUUUUGGGUGUACUUUUUCGUAUGGUAGGCCAACGUCAGUUUCGAUUAUCAUAAAAUGACCGGCGGAAUGUAGCUUCGAUUUCGGUUGAAGUGUUAUAGCCUCUGGUAGAUGUGGUGAUUGAGACUGAGGAUUGCAACGAAUACCCUUUGGGCUAUCCGUCUGGCCUCUGAAAGUUGCUCAGGUGCCGAAAGCGUGCUUACGGUCAUCUAAGAUAACGUUCAACAGGUUAGAACGUGAUUACAUUCGUUAAGGAUGUUGACGUAAUGG